CGGGGAUGUAGCUGCGCGUUUUCCUCUCUUCUGGGCACCGCAGCCAGGGCGAGCUGCCCGCCCCUCUCAUUCCUGGAAGGAGCUCGCCCCUCUGGCCUGGACCGUGUAUUAAGGCUCCCGCUUCUCGGGUUCUUCCUCCCCUGAGCCCCGCACCGGCCGCCAGGGCAUCUCCGACCGGCCUCCUCCCCUCGCCGCGGUCUGGCUCCUCUUCCCCGUCUCUAGUGCCCUCAUAUUCCAUCCUCUCACUCCGCGCAGAAAGGGACCGGGGAGGCAGUUGCUCCCCACUUCCCGAGAAGACCCCCUGGCCAGCCAGUGUUUCGGGGCGGGGGCGAGGGGCGCAGCGAGGAGGCCUGGCGCCCUUUUGCUGCACGUUCUGUGCCCAGCAGUGUCUCCCAGACCAGCAACCCCCGACCCUCCAGGCUCCAUGUCUUAGAGGAGCCAAAUUCGAGAGUUAUAUAAUUUCUAGUGCUGCUGUUCCUCCCGCCUGAGGAAACCCUUCAUCGCGCGGAGGGUGCAGGACAUCUCUGAGCUCUUCUUCUCUAUCAGGACGGGGUGUGGGCAGGGGUGGCCCGCGGUGGCAGAGAUUGCCCGUCUUUUCUGCAAAAGGAAGGUGGGUCGUUUGGAGAGAGAUUGAGAGGCAGGGUGGCGGUGGAAGCCAAGCGGCCGAACUCUCUCUCCUUUAGGAAAUCGCCACCCCUGUGCACAGCUGGUGCUCACAUGCCUAAUACUACAGCGUCUCGAAAACACCUUCGCGGGAAGGGUUGGCGGCUCUGGACCGGUCCCGGCGCUUUUCCUCGCUGGGCAGGCAGCUGCCUGGACGCGAAGAGAUGGCACGAUGUGAAUGAAUGACUCCAGGGUGAAGAGACCUGCUUCGCCAACUCAUCCUGCAUCAAGUGCCCCCCGAGUAGCACUGUCACUGUGACGCCUCCGUGCCAGGGGAUUGCUUUCCUGCUUUUCAAUCCUCUCGGUUAAUACAUGGGAGGAUCAGAAUCAGAGGGGGCAUUAAGGAUCAAGCCCGAGGGGCGCGGAGAGGACAGAAGGGAAAAAAUGAAAGUGACAGCAAGCUGGAUCCUGCCUUACUGAGGGGUGAGACCUGGAACUUGUGGUCCAGGGAACGGAAAGGGGCCUUUCAGUCUGUGUUCUGCUCCGGAAAAACUGUUCAAACGCACCCACCUUUUUAGAGAUCAGAGUCAAAGAGAGAAGACAGCCUGGACUUCAAAACCAAGUAGGUGAAGUGGUUUGCAACAGUUACCUGACUCUUGGCCUCAAUCCAGUUGGAUAAAGUUGGGACCUGAAAAGAGAGCUUGAAUCCUGUGGCAGUGGAAAGACCAAGAAUGCCAGUCAAGAAGAAAGAUACUGACCGAGCUUUAUCAUUGCUGGAAGAAUACUGCAAAAAAUUAAGGAAACCAGAGGAGCAGCAGCUGAAAAACGCUGUUAAAAAGGUGAUGGGCAUCUUUAGGAGCAGCUUAUUUCAAGCUCUGCU